rnacentral:rRNA from 1 species
GAUGAACGCUGGCGGCGUGCCUAAUACAUGCAAGUCGAGCGAACAGACGAGGCGCUUGCUCCUCUGACGUUAGCGGCGGACGGGUGAGUCACACGUGGAUAACCUACCUAUAAUACUGGGAUAACUUCGGGAAACCGGAGCUAAUACCGUAUAAUAUCUUGAACCGCGUGGUUCAAUAGUGAAAUACGGCUUUGGUGUCACUUCUCGCUGGUUCCGGGCCGCAUUGGCUGGUUGGUGCGGUAACAGCUUACCAAGGCGACCAUGCGUGGCCGACCGGAGAGGGUGAUCGCCGACACGGGAACUGAGACACGGUCCAGACUCCUACGGGAGGCAGCAGUAGGGAAUGUUCCGCAAUGGGCGAAAGCCUGACGGAGCAACGCCGCGUGAGUGAUGAAGGUCUUCGGAUCGUAAAACUCUGUUAUUAGUGAAGAACAAAUGUGUAAGUAAAUAUGCACGUAUUGACGGUAACUAAUCAGAAAGCCACGGCUAACUACGUG